AUACGGAGGGUGCAAGCGUUGUUCGGAAUUACUGGGCGUAAAGGGCGCGUAGGCGGCGCUGUAAGUCAGAUGUGAAAGUCCACGGCUCAACCGUGGAAGUGCGUCUGAUACUGCAGCGCUUGAGUAUCGGAGGGGAAAGUAGAAUUCCCGGUGUAGAGGUGAAAUUCGUAGAUAUCGGGAGGAAUACCGGUGGCGAAGGCGACUUUCUGGACGAAUACUGACGCUGAUGCGCGAAAGCGUGGGGAGC
rnacentral:rRNA from 1 species